CUCAAUCCAGAUCCAUCCCUCCCUUCCCUGCGCACUGCUGUAGCACGGUGACUAGCCAUGGAGGCAUGGCGGAGCAAGGCUUCCCACUUAUUUGCAGUUUCUAUACGUUACAAGAUACAACAACACCGACUGGAGGAUGUCUUUCCCUGCCCUGAAGGAGGAGGAAGCAGAGGUGUUGAGUCCUAUGCAGGCAGAGGGAGUCCUAACCUAAUUCAAUUGUCAGCGCGCGUUCAGACUACACUUGAAGGGAAAAAACUAAGCUAGAAUAAGCAGAUAAAUGUGAAGAAACAGCAGGCAUAUAAGGAGACAUGAUGGAAAUGCAAGACAUCGAGAUAUUUGAGGAAAUGGCACAACACCAAUAAGAGGAUGGUAGGAGAGCCAGUGCUUGGCUGAAGUGGACAUCACAAGCAGCUGACUAGUUAAGAUGGAUGAAUGUACACUCAAGUCAACAUGUAGUUGAUUAACAUUCUUAACUGAUAUGACAGUGAUUAAUUAGUAGAUGGAGUGUCUCGUGUCUCUGCAGGGUGAUGUGUGACUGUGCUACUCCUCUCCAUGCAUCACUCAGCCUCCAGCACCUUGACCCAGCCAUCGUCAGUCACUCCCACACUUGAGAGGCAGCAGCACAUUAGCCAAGACUACCACUGUGGUCAGGCUCUGAACUCUUGGCUGUACAUCCAAGGAACCUUCAAACCACUCAGCUGAAGGUGAUGUAAUGUAAUACUGUAUAUUGCAAACUCAGCCUCAUGAACAACCAAGUUUGUGUGAAGGACCCUUUCAGCAUUUUAGGAACUGCCUUUCUUUGUAUGUAUUCAGGAGUAAAACUUUAAUCAAC